rnacentral:rRNA from 1 species
UACGUAGGGGGCAAGCGUUGUCCGGAUUUAUUGGGCGUAAAGAGCGUGUAGGUGGCCGUACAGGUCAGCUGUGAAAACUCGAGGCUCAACCUCGAGACGUCGGUUGAAACCGUACGGCUAGAGUCCGGAAGAGGAGAGUGGAAUUCCCGGUGUAGCGGUGAAAUGCGCAGAUAUCGGGAAGAACACCCGUGGCGAAGGCGGCUCUCUGGGACGGUACUGACGCUGAGACGCGAAAGCGUGGGGAGCCGAACGAGGA